GCUGCAAGUUUUUUACCAUUUUCUUUUUCUCUCGGAGAUACUUAAAUUCUUUGAAGAGUAAGGUUAUGUAAGGAUACGUAUUUAUGUAAUUUUACUAAAUUACAAGCCAAGUAAGUAAAUAGAGUUAAUAUUAAAUCUCAAAAUGUUUGCAAUAAUGAGAUAUUCGUAUAAUAUUAAAAAAUUAUCAGAAAAUUAAAAGGAAAUUAAAAAUAGUUUCAUAGUGAUGAAACGAUAAGGAGGAAAAAUAGCCCUACACAGACUAUGCUAUUUUACUAUAAAGUUAUUUACCUCACUAUUUAUUGUAAAAAAUAAAAAUUAACAAAUUUUGUAUCUAACGCUUCGUUUUUCACCAUGUAAAUGGGAUGGAACUAAUAGUGAAUCUACGUGGACCUGUCAUGCUAGAGGGAAGCAGAAAGGACGUUUGGUAUUUUUGUUACGAUGUAAAAAACGUUUGCCGUGUGGUUGGCGAUGGGGAGGAUCAACUGAUGCAACGAUCUGUAAACGUUUCUUACCCACUACCAGCAUGUCCGAGUGAUCGGAGACCGUUUGGAAGGAUGGCGCCUCGGCUGACACCUCGCAUCUGUAUCUUCCGGUGCUCAUUAGGUUCACGGAAUAGAGAACGACCGAUCUCUCGGUAGAAUUGUGAAUCUGGAAAACGACAAUGAUUCUCCCUGUAGCGCUAUGGACCAAUUAACCCAUUGCAAUUGACCCCUGUACUAUUCCUCGAAUCAGCUAUCAUGAUUCCAGCGGUUUUUAUAGCUAAUUCUUGCCAUCAACAUUCUUCUGUGAGAGUUUAUGAGGCUACCAGAAGCGGGUGCUCAGCAUGUAUUGAAAUAACAUUUUUUGUGAUUGAAA